GAAUGCAAAGCAUGGCUCAUGCAAGAAGCGUGACAGUGUGACAACUAACUACAACAUUUGGAUUACUGGUGUCUGGACCGAACGCUUUAAUGGUUGAUCACUUGUCAAAUUACAUGCUUGUGGAACUGGAAAGAUGAUGCGCAGAUCUAGGAUCAGCGUGCGACCCAACAUCGCGAGGCCCGGGGGCAGGAGUCUUCCUGGCUCCCAGGAAGGUCAGCAUGGUCAGGGAGCAACAGCUGUGGACACCACCCAUGCGGCUGGGACAGAGGGAAAGGGGCCAGACAGCGGAGCAGUCAUAGAUCCCGGUCAGCCCGUGGAACAGUCUGCUGAGACUGCAGCAGGGCUAAACACCUCCCAGGAUACAUCGCCAGAAAAAAUAAUUCCCCCUGAUUUGGGUGAAGAAGAUCAGAAUGGGGGGACCCCUAAUGACAGACCCCUCAUGUCCACAACGCCUCAGAGGAGGAAACGUUUCUCAGCCAUGCCUAACCUGUCCAAACCCAGGGCGACCCCUGCACCGAGGACACCCAAAUCCCCCCUCCCUGCAGCCCCAAGUCAGCCCCCCCCU